ACAUCGUUUUUUCCACGAUCAUGGAACAUUGGAGGCUCUGCCCUAGCUUUAAAGUAUUUCAUCUUCACUGAGCGUCUCCUCUGUUUUAGAACACGUGGAGGAUCCCAUUGCAGAGACGUGUGCUUUUGAACUUUAUGACAAACAUCCCACGAAAACGAGUCCAGCUGAAAGCUUCCGCAGCAACUCACAAACUGCUCAGAAACCCAGGGUUGAUUUAGCGUCUGACGGCAUCUCUACACUGAUGGACAGUCCAGACUCCAUAGCACACCGCUCCCCCUCUCUACUGAUGAACAUUAAAGGAUUUUCUGACAGUGGCUCCGCCUCCUGUCGCACUAAACGGAAGAAAGACGAGAACCAUAGAGAGAGGGUCGAAGGGAUGAGGGACAGAGGUGAGGAGUGUGUGAAGAUGGAGCCGUUUGAUUGUCAGGUUCCCUCAGUUGAAAGUGGGAUUUGUGACCAAAGAACAGACGUUUCUGAUGCGAGUCCAGUUUUUAAGAAGCCAAACAGGAACUCUGACUGUGGUGUUACUGGCAGAAGAAGCUCAGCUGGAGAACAUCUACACACCGAUAAACACAGUGAGUGUUUUCUUCUGCGUGUGUUGAAUAGUUUUAAUGGAUUUACUCACAGAAAAGAUGAACUGUGUUCCUCAGCUGUGAAGGUGGAGCCCACGUGGAGCAUCGACCCUGCACUCGCUCUGUCUGAGUACGACCAGGAGGAUGAUGAAGAGCAGAGACGUGCAGAGCUAACAGACACCGACUGUACGUGGGUCAGUCACAGUUUACUACAACACAGAGGGGUGAUCGACCACAGCAGAGGAGAGGGAGUCACUGGUCUGGGCAGGAAAGCAAACGACAGCUUGGAUUUGAUGUUUGACGCUUCAGCGUGUGGAGAAUACAAGUCCUUUACCAGCUCACACUUGGGGCGGAGCCAGGUCUGUGAAGAGGAGGAGGAGGAGGAGGAAGAAGAAGAAGAGAAGAAGAGGAAUGAUGCUCACCCUUUAGAUUCUCCUGAACACUCCAUGCACCAGAGGAAAGCUGGAGCGCCGAGCUUUGCCCACGUGGCGGUGAUCCGGAAGAAAGACGAGAGACGGAAGCUGAAAGGAACCACCUGUAAAGAAUGUGACACUUAUUACGCUGACCUACCAGAGGAGGAAAGAAAGAGGAAGUUGGCCUCGUGCUCCAGGCAUCGUUUCCUUUACAUUCCCCCGAGUACGCCUGAAAACUUCUGGGAGGUUGGAUUUCCUUCAACGCAAACGUGCAUCGACAGAGGUUAUAUCCGUGAAGAGAAGAAUCCUGAGUUGUGUUCCAGACGUAGAAAUCCACUCAGUGCUUUAUUUUCUCCUAAAAGUCGUGAGCAGGAAGGUCGACACAUUUCUCCCUGAGUACGAAUGUUUAUGAAGAACAGGUGAGAGUAAGAU
rnacentral:lncRNA from 1 species